UACGGGGGGGGUAAGCGUUGUUCGGAAUUACUGGGCGUAAAGGGCUCGUAGGCGGCCAACUAAGUCAUACGUGAAAUCCCUCAGCUUAACUGGGGAACUGCGUGUGAUACUGGAUGGCUUGGAUUUGGGAGAGGGAUGCGGAAUUCCAGGUGUAGCGGUGAAAUGCGUAGAUAUCUGGAGGAACACCAAUGGCGAAGGCAGCUCGCUGGGACGGUACUGACGCUGAGGCGCGAAAGCGUGGGGAGCAAACAGG
rnacentral:rRNA from 1 species